UUAAGCGACUAAGCGUACACGGUGGAUGCCCUGGCAGUCAGAGGCGAUGAAGGACGUGCUAAUCUGCGAUAAGCGUCGGUAAGGUGAUAUGAACCGUUAUAACCGGCGAUUUCCGAAUGGGGAAACCCAGUGUGUUUCGACACACUAUCAUUAACUGAAUCCAUAGGUUAAUGAGGCGAACCGGGGGAACUGAAACAUCUAAGUACCCCGAGGAAAAGAAAUCAACCGAGAUUCCCCCAGUAGCGGCGAGCGAACGGGGAGCAGCCCAGAGCCUGAAUCAGUAUGUGUGUUUGUGGAAGCGUCUGGAAAGGCGCGCGAUACAGGGUGACAGCCCCGUACACAAAAAUGCACAUGCUGUGAGCUCGAUGAGUAGGGCGGGACACGUGGUAUCCUGUCUGAAUAUGGGGGGACCAUCCUCCAAGGCUAAAUACUCCUGACUGACCGAUAGUGAACCAGUACCGUGAGGGAAAGGCGAAAAGAACCCCGGCGAGGGGAGUGAAAAAGAACCUGAAACCGUGUACGUACAAGCAGUGGGAGCUCGCUUAGGCGUGUGACUGCGUACCUUUUGAUAAUGGGUCAGCGACUUAUAUUCUGUAGCAAGGUUAACCGAAUAGGGGAGCCGAAGGGAAACCGAGUCUUAACUGGGCGUUAAGUUGCAGGGUAUAGACCCGAAACCCGGUGAUCUAGCCAUGGGCAGGUUGAAGGUUGGGUAACACUAACUGGAGGACCGAACCGACUAAUGUUGAAAAAUUAGCGGAUGACUUGUGGCUGGGGGUGAAAGGCCAAUCAAACCGGGAGAUAGCUGGUUCUCCCCGAAAGCUAUUUAGGUAGCGCCUCGUGAAUUCAUCUCCGGGGGUAGAGCACUGUUUCGGCAAGGGGGUCAUCCCGACUUACCAACCCGAUGCAAACUGCGAAUACCGGAGAAUGUUAUCACGGGAGACACACGGCGGGUGCUAACGUCCGUCGUGAAGAGGGAAACAACCCAGACCGCCAGCUAAGGUCCCAAAGUCAUGGUUAAGUGGGAAACGAUGUGGGAAGGCCCAGACAGCCAGGAUGUUGGCUUAGAAGCAGCCAUCAUUUAAAGAAAGCGUAAUAGCUCACUGGUCGAGUCGGCCUGCGCGGAAGAUGUAACGGGGCUAAACCAUGCACCGAAGCUGCGGCAGCGACGCUUAUGCGUUGUUGGGUAGGGGAGCGUUCUGUAAGCCUGCGAAGGUGUGCUGUGAGGCAUGCUGGAGGUAUCAGAAGUGCGAAUGCUGACAUAAGUAACGAUAAAGCGGGUGAAAAGCCCGCUCGCCGGAAGACCAAGGGUUCCUGUCCAACGUUAAUCGGGGCAGGGUGAGUCGACCCCUAAGGCGAGGCCGAAAGGCGUAGUCGAUGGGAAACAGGUUAAUAUUCCUGUACUUGGUGUUACUGCGAAGGGGGGACGGGGAAGGCUAUGUUGGCCGGGCGACGGUUGUCCCGGUUUAAGCGUGUAGGCUGGUUUUCCAGGCAAAUCCGGAAAAUCAAGGCUGAGGCGUGAUGACGAGGCACUACGGUGCUGAAGCAACAAAUGCCCUGCUUCCAGGAAAAGCCUCUAAGCAUCAGGUAACAUCAAAUCGUACCCCAAACCGACACAGGUGGUCAGGUAGAGAAUACCAAGGCGCUUGAGAGAACUCGGGUGAAGGAACUAGGCAAAAUGGUGCCGUAACUUCGGGAGAAGGCACGCUGAUAUGUAGGUGAAGUCCCUCGCGGAUGGAGCUGAAAUCAGUCGAAGAUACCAGCUGGCUGCAACUGUUUAUUAAAAACACAGCACUGUGCAAACACGAAAGUGGACGUAUACGGUGUGACGCCUGCCCGGUGCCGGAAGGUUAAUUGAUGGGGUUAGCGCAAGCGAAGCUCUUGAUCGAAGCCCCGGUAAACGGCGGCCGUAACUAUAACGGUCCUAAGGUAGCGAAAUUCCUUGUCGGGUAAGUUCCGACCUGCACGAAUGGCGUAAUGAUGGCCAGGCUGUCUCCACCCGAGACUCAGUGAAAUUGAACUCGCUGUGAAGAUGCAGUGUACCCGCGGCAAGACGGAAAGACCCCGUGAACCUUUACUAUAGCUUGACACUGAACAUUGAGCCUUGAUGUGUAGGAUAGGUGGGAGGCUUUGAAGUGUGGACGCCAGUCUGCAUGGAGCCGACCUUGAAAUACCACCCUUUAAUGUUUGAUGUUCUAACGUUGACCCGUAAUCCGGGUUGCGGACAGUGUCUGGUGGGUAGUUUGACUGGGGCGGUCUCCUCCUAAAGAGUAACGGAGGAGCACGAAGGUUGGCUAAUCCUGGUCGGACAUCAGGAGGUUAGUGCAAUGGCAUAAGCCAGCUUGACUGCGAGCGUGACGGCGCGAGCAGGUGCGAAAGCAGGUCAUAGUGAUCCGGUGGUUCUGAAUGGAAGGGCCAUCGCUCAACGGAUAAAAGGUACUCCGGGGAUAACAGGCUGAUACCGCCCAAGAGUUCAUAUCGACGGCGGUGUUUGGCACCUCGAUGUCGGCUCAUCACAUCCUGGGGCUGAAGUAGGUCCCAAGGGUAUGGCUGUUCGCCAUUUAAAGUGGUACGCGAGCUGGGUUUAGAACGUCGUGAGACAGUUCGGUCCCUAUCUGCCGUGGGCGCUGGAGAACUGAGGGGGGCUGCUCCUAGUACGAGAGGACCGGAGUGGACGCAUCACUGGUGUUCGGGUUGUCAUGCCAAUGGCACUGCCCGGUAGCUAAAUGCGGAAGAGAUAAGUGCUGAAAGCAUCUAAGCACGAAACUUGCCCCGAGAUGAGUUCUCCCUGACUCCUUGAGAGUCCUGAAGGAACGUUGAAGACGACGACGUUGAUAGGCCGGGUGUGUAAGCGCAGCGAUGCGUUGAGCUAACCGGUACUAAUGAACCGUGAGGCUUAACCUU
rnacentral:rRNA from 1 species